rnacentral:lncRNA from 1 species
UUAGUCAGAGUUGACCAAAAAGUUAACCGUUUAAUAAAGUCAACUAUUGGUCAAAGUUGCUAUUUUUUUUUUGUAUUUUUGUAUGAAUGAUGUAAUCUUGCAAUGAAAUGGGCACUUGUAUGAAAAUGACUCUUUUAUUUCAAUGAAACAAUGCCUUAAUUUCAAAUAAUAUUUUCCCACCAAAAUCCAUAUUUGAAUUGCUAGUUUGAAUCAUGCAUCAUAG